GAGGGUAUAGCUCAAGUGGUAAAGCGCAUGCUUAGUAUGAGCGAGGUCCUGGGUUCGAUGCCCAGUACCUCCU
rnacentral:tRNA from 1 species